rnacentral:lncRNA from 1 species
UAUUAUUAUUAAUAUACUGUAACAUACCUACGUAAUAUUAUUAUAUUAUUAUUAAUAUAUGUAUAUUAUAAUUUAUUAUUAUUAUUCUCGUAAACUAAUAUUGUUCUAGCCAUUUUCGAUUGUUGUCAUUUAAAUCUCAAAAUAUCUAUACCUAUAUUAUUAUUAUACUCGGUGGCCGUAGAAUAAAUAGACGGGGGAUAAUAUCUCUGUGCGAGAGAAACAGACGAUAUUAUACUAUUUUCCGCAAACAAUUGUUCAGAUUUUUGGUUUUUUUUUUUUUUUUCAUCAUAAUUACAAAAACAUUAUUAUUCAGAUAUAAAUCGCUGAAAACCGUAGGGUUAAUAAACAACGACCGUGUCGAUUUAUCACGACGAACACGAUAAUACAUUCACGAGACGACGUGUUAUCACCAUUUCAUUGAUCGACCAAGGAGUAUUAUACACAAUUCAUUAUAUACUGCGUUUAGACAGCGUUUGGUAAAAUCGCGAGUGCGCUAUUCGCAUCGUGACUCUACUGAUUUUACGAUCGGUCCCUUGUCUAUUUAUCUUCUACGGCUACGCUAUUAUACCUGUAACGGCAUUGAUUAAAUAUACAUAGAUUGUCCGAUGUCCAUGUAUCACGUGGCUGUAAAAUAUGUAAAUUUAGGAUUUGAUAUAAGUACUACCAUAACAACCCACAGACCUACAAACAAAUAGUUAUCCGAUUGCCCCGAAACCUGUAACCGUUAGUGUUAAAUAUUUUAAAGUCAAUAAAACGGCAGACUUUUCUUAUCAACCCAGUCUGUGUUUACCGCUUGUUUAUCGAUAAGAGCUAAAUUCAUAUUAUUUUACGUUGUAAAAUAGUCAAUUAAUCGAACUUAGAAAUUAAACUUUAUUUGUGUUAGCCUCACGUUUCUGUGGUAUUGAUUUAUUUUCUUAUGGCUCGCUUAAUAGUUUACCCGCAAUAAUCAAACCUGGCUUUUAAUUACUUUUAAUAAGUACUAGGUAGAUAGUAAUAUAAACACUUACUAUUUAAAUUUGAAUUCGAUUAAAUUGGUCAAUAUUUAUUCAAUACAAUAAUGUAAAUACAGACCUAUUUGAUAAGAAAUAUCAGCCAUUUUAUUGACGUCAAUAAUAACACCUAGUCACUCUUCUUAUAAUUGCAUAUAUCAGUACACUCGCUUUACAAAAAAAAAGGUCUUCUAUUUUAGUGAAGGUAAAGUUGGUCUCCACUACUCAUUGUUUCGCUUGUUUGUAUUGUAACUUAGUUAUUCUAGCAAUAAAUUAUCAUUAUUAUUAUUAUAAUUAUUGUUAUCGUAAAUAAUACUUAUAAUACACUAACGCAACAUGUCGGCAUGGCUCUCUUGUUACUGUUACGUAAAUUCUGACUCCCGUUUCACUUAAUAACAAUUUUACUAUGUAUUAUAUUAUGUAUAUUUAAUCAGUGCUAAUGUGUUGAUUAUUACUACUAUUAUUAUUAUUAUUAUUAUUAUGAUUGUUUCGUUUAAGUUUUUCAGUACCUAUCGUUUUAUGCCAUUAUUAUUGUACAGCUGCAGCAAUCUACUACAUAAUGUAUGUUGUUUCGCGUACUAUUAUUAUUAUUUAAUACCUGUAUGUAAUAUUAUACCAAAAAUACCUAUUUACUUUAAAAUUAUAAUAUAUAUUAUAUUCGAAUUGUUAACACUUUUCCGAUAAUAUAUAAACGAAAAAAAAACUAUAUAUAUAUAUAUAAAAAAUACUUUUUUUUAAAUAGUUAUUUAAUAAAAAAACAAAAAAAACUGUAUAAAAAAUUAUAUAUAUAUAUAUUAAACAUUUUAGAUAAGAAAAACAAUGUGUACCGU